rnacentral:rRNA from 1 species
GAUGAACGCUGGCGGCGUGCUUAGCACAUGCAAGUCGAACGGAAAGGCUCCUGCUUGCAGGGGUACUUGAGUGGCGAACGGGUGAGUAACACGUGGGUGAUCUGCCCUGCACUUCGGGAUAAGCCUGGGAAACUGGGUCUAAUACCGGAUAGGACGAUGGUUUGGAUGCCAUUGUGGAAAGUUUUUCGGUGUGGGAUGAGCUCGCGGCCUAUCAGCUUGUUGGUGGGGUAAUGGCCUACCAAGGCGUCGACGGGUAGCCGGCCUGAGAGGGUGUACGGCCACAUUGGGACUGAGAUACGGCCCAGACUCCUACGGGAGGCAGCAGUGGGGAAUAUUGCACAAUGGGCGCAAGCCUGAUGCAGCGACGCCGCGUGGGGGAUGACGGCCUUCGGGUUGUAAACUCCUUUCGCUAGGGACGAAGCGCAAGUGACGGUACCUGGAGAAGAAGCACCGGCUAACUACGUG